GACGAACGCUGGCGGCGCGCCUAACACAUGCAAGUCGAACGAGCGAGAGAGAGCUUGCUUUCUCAAGCGAGUGGCGAACGGGUGAGUAACGCGUGAGGAACCUGCCUCAAAGAGGGGGACAACAGUUGGAAACGACUGCUAAUACCGCAUAAGCCCACGGCUCGGCAUCGAGCAGAGGGAAAAGGAGCAAUCCGCUUUGAGAUGGCCUCGCGUCCGAUUAGCUAGUUGGUGAGGUAACGGCCCACCAAGGCAACGAUCGGUAGCCGGACUGAGAGGUUGAACGGCCACAUUGGGACUGAGACACGGCCCAGACUCCUACGGGAGGCAGCAGUGGGGAAUAUUGCACAAUGGGGGAAACCCUGAUGCAGCGACGCCGCGUGGAGG
rnacentral:rRNA from 1 species